rnacentral:lncRNA from 10 species
AAGCCAUGGGAGGACAUUAUGAGAAGGCGGCAAUCUACAAGCCAGCAAGAGAUUCCUCUUCAGAAACCAAAGCUCCUGGCACCUUGAUCACAGAUGCCUAGCCUCCUGAACUGUGUUUAUCUGGGUUUCCUUGCAUCUCAUUGAGCUUCUCAGGCAAUUCAUGGAUCUCCACUUCUUUGAGGGAUUUGGGACUGGCUUCUUCUGUCUGGGACUUAGGAGAUGGAUUUGGGGUUCUGGUUUUUGUUGAAGACUGACAGGGUCAUAAACAAGCUCC